AGACCCGAAACCCGGUGAUCUAGCCAUGGGCAGGUUGAAGGUUGGGUAACACUAACUGGAGGACCGAACCGACUAAUGUUGAAAAAUUAGCGGAUGACCUGUGGCUGGGGGUGAAAGGCCAAUCAAACCGGGAGAUAGCUGGUUCUCCCCGAAAGCUAUUUAGGUAGCGCCUCGUGAAUUCAUCUCCGGGGGUAGAGCACUGUUUCGGCUAGGGGGCCAUCCCGGCUUACCAACCCGAUGCAAACUGCGAAUACCGGAGAAUGUUAUCACGGGAGACACACGGCGGGUGCUAACGUCCGUCGUGAAGAGGGAAACAACCCAGACCGCCAGCUAAGGUCCCAAAGUCAUGGUUAAGUGGGAAACGAUGUGGGAAGGCCCAGACAGCCAGGAUGUUGGCUUAGAAGCAGCCAUCAUUUAAAGAAAGCGUAAUAGCUCACUGGUCGAGUCGGCCUGCGCGGAAGAUGUAACGGGGCUAAACCAUGCACCGAAGCUGCGGCAGCGAACGUAUCACCCAAGACAACUUUACGGAGUUGACGAUUGACGGAGCGAAGCGACGUCAAAGCGUUCAUUAAAGUCGAGUUGGCUUAGGGAUACGUUCGUUGGGUAGGGGAGCGUUCUGUAAGCCUGUGAAGGUGUGUCGUGAGGCAUGCUGGAGGUAUCAGAAGUGCGAAUGCUGACAUAAGUAACGAUAAAGCGGGUGAAAAGCCCGCUCGCCGGAAGACCAAGGGUUCCUGUCCAACGUUAAUCGGGGCAGGGUGAGUCGACCCCUAAGGCGAGGCCGAAAGGCGUAGUCGAUGGGAAACGGGUUAAUAUUCCCGUACUUGGUGUUACUGCGAAGGGGGGACGGAGAAGGCUAUGUUGGCCGGGCGACGGUUGUCCCGGUUUAAGCGUGUAGGUGUGUGUUCCAGGUAAAUCCGGUUCACUUUAACACUGAGGCGUGACGACGAGGCACUACGGUGCUGAAGCAACAAAUGCCCUGCUUCCAGGAAAAGCCUCUAAGCAUCAGGUAACAUCAAAUCGUACCCCAAACCGACACAGGUGGUCAGGUAGAGAAUACCAAGGCGCUUGAGAGAACUCGGGUGAAGGAACUAGGCAAAAUGGUGCCGUAACUUCGGGAGAAGGCACGCUGACACGUAGGUGAAGUGAUUUACUCAUGGAGCUGAAGUCAGUCGAAGAUACCAGCUGGCUGCAACUGUUUAUUAAAAACACAGCACUGUGCAAACACGAAAGUGGACGUAUACGGUGUGACGCCUGCCCGGUGCCGGAAGGUUAAUUGAUGGGGUCAGCGUAAGCGAAGCUCCUGAUCGAAGCCCCGGUAAACGGCGGCCGUAACUAUAACGGUCCUAAGGUAGCGAAAUUCCUUGUCGGGUAAGUUCCGACCUGCACGAAUGGCGUAAUGAUGGCCAGGCUGUCUCCACCCGAGACUCAGUGAAAUUGAACUCGCUGUGAAGAUGCAGUGUACCCGCGGCAAGACGGAAAGACCCCGUGAACCUUUACUAUAGCUUGACACUGAACAUUGAGCCUUGAUGUGUAGGAUAGGUGGGAGGCUUUGAAGUGUGGACGCCAGUCUGCAUGGAGCCGACCUUGAAAUACCACCCUUUAAUGUUUGAUGUUCUAACGUGGACCCGUAAUCCGGGUUGCGGACAGUGUCUGGUGGGUAGUUUGACUGGGGCGGUCUCCUCCUAAAGAGUAACGGAGGAGCACGAAGGUUGGCUAAUCCUGGUCGGACAUCAGGAGGUUAGUGCAAUGGCAUAAGCCAGCUUGACUGCGAGCGUGACGGCGCGAGCAGGUGCGAAAGCAGGUCAUAGUGAUCCGGUGGUUCUGAAUGGAAGGGCCAUCGCUCAACGGAUAAAAGGUACUCCGGGGAUAACAGGCUGAUACCGCCCAAGAGUUCAUAUCGACGGCGGUGUUUGGCACCUCGAUGUCGGCUCAUCACAUCCUGGGGCUGAAGUAGGUCCCAAGGGUAUGGCUGUUCGCCAUUUAAAGUGGUACGCGAGCUGGGUUUAGAACGUCGUGAGACAGUUCGGUCCCUAUCUGCCGUGGGCGCUGGAGAACUGAGGGGGGCUGCUCCUAGUACGAGAGGACCGGAGUGGACGCAUCACUGGUGUUCGGGUUGUCAUGCCAAUGGCACUGCCCGGUAGCUAAAUGCGGAAGAGAUAAGUGCUGAAAGCAUCUAAGCACGAAACUUGCCCCGAGAUGAGUUCUCCCUGAGACUUAGAGUCUCCUGAAGGAACGUUGAAGACGACGACGUUGAUAGGCCGGGUGUGUAAGCGCAGCGAUGCGUUGAGCUAACCGGUACUAAUGAACCGUGAGGCUUAACCUUACAACGCCGAAG
rnacentral:rRNA from 1 species